rnacentral:rRNA from 1 species
AGGACGAACGCUGGCGGCGUGCUUAACACAUGCAAGUCAAGGGGGCCGCAAGGUCAACCGGCGAACGGGUGCGUAACACGUGAGCAACCUGCCUUAGUGUGGGGGAUAGCCGGCCCAACGGCCGGGUAAUACCGCAUACGCUCACUGGGUGGCAUCACCUGGUGAAGAAACUUUCGAGGCACUAAGAGGGGCUCGCGGCCUAUCAGCUUGUUGGUGGGGUAAUGGCCUACCAAGGCGACGACGGGUAGC